AGAUAAGAUUAUUGGACUGACUACUAGUCCUCUUCGGGGCAACAAGACGACUCUUCCUCAUUGAAGCUACCUGUGCACCGGAGACGCCCCUAAGGCACAAAGGGAGGACUUUCCCACCAGGUCAGUUAGAGCACAGUUCCCACAAGUGGACAGACAGACGUGAAGCAAGUCUUGCAGUUAACAAGAUGGACAUUGCUUUGUGUAUUUUGCAAGUGUUGGACUGAAUGUGCUCCUUUAAAUAGGUGUCCUUUCCAUACCAUAUUUUUAUUUCCAUCCCUCUCUCCCAGUUACAUGGUGUUAUGUUUAAUAAUUGUUCAGAAUCGGUAUAGAGUUCUGCUUCUCUUCCAACAUCUUUCUUGUGACCUGUGCUAGAUCACCUUUUAGUUUUAAGGGGAAAAACAAUUUUUCUAGAAAGUUUAUAGUUUGCUCUAGCAUUUUCUGUAGAAAUCUUUUGGGAGGUGGUAUUUAGAACUGAAAAAACUAGAAUGUACUUGUUCUGUGUACCACUUUUGCCUGUAACCUGAAGUUUCACCCUUCCAAAGAAAAUAGAGGAAAAAGCUGGAAUUUAUUUAUUUUCAUUCUUUUUUUGUGUCUGGAAAAAGUUUUAAUUUCUCCUUUUGUUAAAGCAACUCUCGAUGGCGUAUAUUUCCUUAUUAGCAAAGCACAGAAGUUGAGUUGACUUGGAUUGGGAUUUGAUAUCAGUUUUCUUACCUUAGGCUUGUUCCUCUUGAAUAUUUACAUAUAAUCUUUUGCAUUUAUAAAUACUUGAUGGGUGAACAUGCCAAUUAAACAUGGAAUUUGUGCCUUUUGUGAUUAAUAUUUUUACCCUUUUAAUGUAAUAAUUUAACUUCAUUAUGAACACAGUUUUGAAUGCUUUUAUACCCUUGCUUUCUGAUAUUUCUUAUUCAAAAUCUGCAAUAUCUUGAAUUCCCCUUCUUACUCCCUCCUCCAUAAAUACAAAUUGUAUCCUUUUGGUUAAUUCGGUUACUUGCAGUGUGUGGGAAAUGAUUGUCUUUCAUAUCUCUAUUGUUUCACUUUUAAAGAGUAAUGUAUUUACUGCACUUUAAAAUCUAUGGUUAAUGUCUUCUUUUAUGGCAGAAAAGAGGGGAUCUGAUGAUAAAAAAAGUAGUGUGAAGUCCAGUAGUCGAGAAAAACAGAGUGAAGAUCCAAACACUGAAUCGAAGGAAAGUGAUACUAAGAAUGAGGUCAAUGGGACCAGUGAAGACAUUAAAUCUGAAGGUGACACUCAGUCCAAUUAAAACUGAUCUGAUAAGACCUCAGAUCAGACAGAGGUAAGUGUAUUGUUUCUCACUUUGAUUAGGGCUUUUUGUUACUGUUUGACAGUGCAGCGUAAGUAUGCACAGAUGAAGAUGGAACUAAGCCGAGUAAGAAGACAUACAAAAGCAUCUUCUGAAGGAAAAGACAGUGUAGUCCUGCAAAACAUUUUGAGGUACAUUGUUUUGUCUCAGCUAUUUUGUAGCAGACUCGUGUCCCCAUUAGUGUGCCUCUUUGGAAAUUAUUGCCCACCUUUGUAAUGUAGUCGCCAUUAAAAAGUUAAUUAUCCUUUUUUUUAGGGAUUUUGCUGUCAUUUCUUUUUUUUUUUUUUUUUUUUUUUUUUUUUAAUAAAAAGGUUGAACUGUUUUUUUAUUAUUAUUAUUAUUUUUUGGUAUUAAGUCCAUCUUGUGUUGGUACAUUGGCAGAAACAUAUGCUUUAAAAACUUAAAUAUUUCUGAGGCACAUGUUGGACUACUUUGUUUUAAUUAAACUGCUAGUAUUUCUUUGUCAAGGAUGUUUCUAGUUUUUUUGCUUUAUUGCCUUGCAUUCUAAUGCAGUUUGUUCUGUAACUCGAGAGCCAGUAGCAUUGGAUUGAUGGAAGUGUAGGGUUUAUGAAUUAUUGCAGCUGACUACCAUACCUCACACAGCGUUGGUGUUGUGAGCGGCCCAUGAAAAGCCAAAUUAAAAAUCAAGGAUUCAGUCAAACUAAGCAGGUACUCAUGCCAGGUACUCCUUUCUCUACCCACAUCCAUGUUUGAAUGCUAUUGCCUGUGAUCUUUACGCUUAACUGUUGUGUAUCUUUUUUGUUCUUUAUAAGAAGCACAGAGGGGUUUUUGUGUAUUGCGUGAAAAGUUAUAAAUCAAAUGUUAACAGAAUGGAAUUUUUUUUCAACUGUGUGUAGGGAUGCAGUGGUGCCCAGAAUUAGAUAUCUUUAAAGAAAUUUAAAUACAAUAAACACUUCAUAUUAUUCGCCUUGUUACAUUCAAUGCAAUUCUCAAGUCUUUAAGAGGUAUGUGCUUAAUAUUUCCUACUUUGUAGGAGAAUUUGCAGUCAGCCAUAGGUGUAUAGGAAUAGUUACUGGCUGAUAUGUUUAAAGCAGCAGUGAAUAGGAAGGACAGACAACUUCAAUCUGUGACAUGCAAAGAAUUGUUGAACUGUAUAGAAUGAAUUUGGGUUUUUAAAGAACUAUUAAGUUAGGUUUUGUAAGUGUUCUUAAAACCUCUAUAAACUGUUCAUUCUUUGGGCUAGUGGUGUGGGAUGAAAUAUUCCUAAUAAAAGGAAGUACCAAUUAGUUGAUUUGUUGAUGGCAUUCCUUUUCUAGGAAAGCAGUUUAGAGUUUCUGUGUGAGCUAUUCACACAUAGGCAUGCAUACACAGGCACAUGGCUUUAAGAACCACACUGAUGCCUUAACUGUUAAAAAGAUACAAACAUUUCAUAUACACGUUUAAUAUAAUUAGCAGUUAGUGACUGGGCCAACACUUUGUCAUAAAAAUUUGCCUUUUAUAUGCUGUCUAAUUAUCAUUUUUCCCCAAAUUUUGCAUUGUAGGACUACUGUUCGAAGAUUUUUUGAAGAAUACUGAAAACGGCAUAAAGUGAAGAUCGGCAUUAAAAUGAGGUGAAAGAAAGCUAUAGUGGCAUAGAAAAAGUAUAAAAAGCUCAGUUAGUGUUUUUUUUUUAUUUUAUUUUAAUUAAAAAUUAAUUCAGGACUGAUGUGACCUUCCAGAUUUCAGAACAUGUGUUAAUAGCAUAUAUGCCACUGAAAAUUUAGGUCCUGUAUCAUAAUUUUUCUUUAAGACUUUUUAAGAUAUUACCUAAACAUGUGGCUUGCUCAGUGUUUAAUUGCAAGUUUUCAUUCUUGGACUUUGAAAACAGGAUUAAACGUUAGUAUUCGUGUGAAUCAGACUAAGUGGGAUUCCAUUUUUACAACUCUGCUAUACUUAGCCUUUGGAUAUAGAAGUAAAAAUAAAGUAUCUCUGACUUUCUGUUACAAAGUUGACUGUCUGUGUCAUUGAAGUUUUAGUAUUAAUCUUUUUCUAAUAAAGUUAUUUACUCUGAACUAGUCCCUUGUUUUAAAUAUGAGGUAUACUAUUACUAAAGGUAUUGGUGUACAAGUUUUGUUUCAUUUGUUCUGUUUAAGACUUAACUUUCAUAGAAUUUCCAGUUUGUUUUAAAUAAUGGUGCUCCAAUUUUUUUGGUGGUUAUUAAUGAAUUUGAACUUUGCUUUUAAUAGCGAAGAUGUAUAGUAAACUAGAAUAUAUUUUUACAUCCCUGAGAGACUUCUUUUAGAAGACAAUUCCAGAUAUACUGACAGACAUUAUCUUCCUCUCUCUAGCUGUGAUAUGGUAUAGAAGAGCAUUUGAGAACUUUUAACUAAUUUUUGGUCUUAUUUUAAAUCCUGUACCAAGAGUUCUUUUAACCUGGUCCUAUCAAUUUCUGUGUAUGGGGUGUAUAAUAUACAUAAUAAGAAUUCUUUAAAAAAAAAAAAACAGGUGAUUUUAUGUCACAAACAGGAGAAUUGGCAUGUUUCUAUCUUUAUCUAGCUUUAUCAACUGUAUAAAAAUAUUUCUAGCUACAUACAUAUAUUACAUAUGAUAGCAAUUCUGUGGCUCAGUGUUUUUCAAAUAUUUCCAUCAUUUUAUAGGGUAAAGAAACUGAGUGGGUUAGACAACUUAUCCAAGAGCUUCAUGUUGAUGAAAUGUUAGGAUGUGGAGUCUAGGCCUCCACAUCUUGGUUUAGUAUUCACAACUUUUGUGCAGUUGUGUUCGUUCUGAUGGGCAUAAUGAAUCAUUAUAGAAUUUACUAAAGAAAAUAACUCCCCAUCAGCCUUUUCUCCCUUUUUCUUUUUCCCCAUUCCCUCUAUUUUGUGUGGUGCUGGGGACUAAACCCAGGUCCACUCUACCACUGAGCUGUACCCCAGCCCUUUUUAUUUUGUAUUUUGCAACAGGAUCUUACUAAGUUUCCUAGGCUGGCCUGGAACUUGCCAUCCUCCUGCUUUGGCCUCCUGAGUCUCUGGGAUUACAGGCGUGCAUUACCACACCUGGCUCCAAACUUAAAAAUAAUGAUGUAUCAUUUUUAGAGGCUUUGUAUGGAAAAAUCCUAUGGGGACAAAGCCCUCUGGGCAACUCCAGCUGAUCUGGAGAUGCAAUGAUACAUGAAUUUAUCUUUGAAUUUUUAAGAGAUUCUUCAUAUGAGAAUUAAGAUAAGGUGUGAAAUAAAGUGUAACAAAAUGAGUUAGUCCUCUCCUAAGCUGUUUUGUGUUUGACAAGAUUAUAGCAUUAAGAGGUAAUGUAAUAAAUAUACUAAAGUAUUCAAAUGCCAGAUUUUUCUUCCUCAUCUAGAAUCCACAGCUAACUUAAAAGAAGUGAAAUAAGUGGUCCUGUGAAAAGCUUACUCUGGGGACACUUUUGAAGCUACCCUAGGAUUUUAGGGAGAGACCUAGCCACUUAAGGUGACUUAUGGAGAUAGAAAAGCUGGCUUUUAUACUUUAUACCCCAGGUUGAUCUGACUACAGAGAGACUGAUUUUUGCUAACCAAAAUCACAUCUAGUGUAGAUGCCAAGGGCUAAUUUUCUAUACACAUUUUUGCUAUGCUGACCAAAAAGUUACCAGCUGGCUAAUGGUUCUGUGUCUCUUCUCUUUGGAGAGCUGAUUUUAAUCAAGAAGAUGACUUAAUAAGAACUGAAAUUAGAACAGUGGUUGAUAUUUUCAAAAUCUUUUUAUUUUGGAAAUUUUAAGACACAGAAGUUGAACAGUAUAAUUAGCAGUGUAAUUAAUCACUGUCAACUGAUGACUAUUAAGACUCAUUGGUCAGUGUUUUUGUGUAUGUAUCCUGUCCUCUCAUUUUCAAAAAAAAAAAAAAAAUCUCUUAUCCAUUUAAUCUGUAAAUAAUUCAGCAUGUAUAUAUAAAAGAAACUCUUAAACAUAUAGUUCAUUAAUAUCAAAUUGAAUAAGCUUUUAUUAGCUGAAGCUAUCAAACUAUAGUAAUGGUUCAGUAGAGUAAUUUCUUUUGCUGCCCUCCAGAGGGCCAGGUAAUGGAGUCUGCUGGUCAAGCCUUCCUUCUCUGUAAUAUAGAGACAGAAUCCAUGAAGACCAUUUUUGUUAAAAUGGGGUUUUUUUUGUUUUUUCAAAAAGAUAAAGGUCCAUUUAUGUUUGGUCUGAAAACACCUUUCUUGCAUUUUUUAUUAAGUUGUUAAUAACCUAGUCAUGUUAUUCAUUUUAGAUAUUUAUCUCCUAGCCUUAGAGUAGGCAUUCUAGUUCCUUAAAUAGGUUCAGUGUCACAGAAGACAACCAACCGUAUCUCUCCAGGGUCUAAGAACACUGAAUCACAUAUGUUUUGAGCUCUGCACUCUGAUUAAAGAUUUUAGAAAUAUAAAAACUAAAAAAUUCAUGUGGAAGUUGGGUUUGUUUUUGUUUUUUUCCCUUUCUUUUGGUACCAGGGAUUGAACCCAGGGGCUCUUAACCACUGAGUCAUAUACAAUUUUUAUUUUUUAUUUUGAGACAAGGUCUCCUUAAGCUGCUGCAGCUGGCAUUGAACUUGUGAUCCUCCUGCCUCAACCCCCUAGUCACUGGGAUUAUGGGCAAGCUCCACCACACCUAGUGGAUGUAUUUAGAGCUCAGGUUCAUUCUGUUUUUUAAAAUGGAUUGUAGAUAAAAGCUAUGUAUGAUCAAUGUUAUUUUAUUUUUUGGUGUUAGGGAUUGAACUCAUGGCCUCAUGCAUAUUAAAAAAACACUACCACUGACUGAGCUAUGUCCCCAGCCCCACUGCUAUGUAUGUUUUCUGUAUAUGCAUGAAACAAAACAUUUGAAGUUGUAUAUGCAUUCUAUGGGAUGGGACUUCAUUCAGGGUUGAUUUUCAAAGUUUGAAUUUCUGAUUAAUUUUUAGUUGUUAGUGAAAGGACCCCAAAUGACAACUUUUUUUUUUUUUUAAUUUUGUAUUACAAUUGAAAUGCUUGCAGGUGAUUUAAAAACAACAGAAUUGUUUGGUGAUGUAUGAUUUCCUUCUGUCCCUCUGUUCUUAUAGGAACACUUUUGUUACCACCUUCCUUUUUUUCCCCCCUUUUGAAUAGGAGGUGAGGGAUUUGAGCAAAAUACGUUUAGAUGUCUUUUUAUAUAUGUUUACCCAUAUGUUCUGAAUCUAUCUUCACUAGCCUAUUUAGAAGCAUUUAUUUUGAGACAUAGAAGACAGCACUUUUAAGUUGAACAUUUGGCUUUUAAAAAUAUAUUUCAAGGAAGCCAAAGCAGGGAAGUAAAUGUAUUUUUCAUUGUUGUAUCAGAAUUUUUAAUUUUGUUUUAAAAAUGCACUUUGAGAAUAGAUGAUGUGUUUCUUAACCUCAGCCAUCCCAUGUAGAUGAGUUGUCAAUAGAUGUGAGAACAUUUAGGAACAACAACUUCAGAAAUGGUUUGUCAUAACUGGGUGUGCCAUAACUCAUCCAUAGGUACAUACCCUUGAGAAACUCUUACACAUGUGCCAGGAGAUGGAUAUAAAAUUGUCAUAAUGGCAGCAUUUGUAACAGGAAGAAAACGAAAAAAAAAAAUGCUGGGAAGACCCCAAGUCAACAUCUUUGUUGGAUAUAUAGUGUGAUGCAUUCCUACCAUGGAAUUCCAUAGAAGUGAAAUUGAACUACAGCUCCACGUGUGAACCUGGAUGACUCAACAGUAUAAUAAUGGUCAAAAGAGCAAGUUACAGAAGGAUUUAUCCACUGUGGUUCUAUUACUGUGCUGGUUAAAAACAGGCUGUUAUAUACAUGGUAAAUGAAAGAAAAAUAAGGAAAUGAUUGACACAAUUCAAUGUCAGCUGGUGCUUUGGAAGUUUGGAAGGAAAUGUGAUCAUGGAAGGCAAAGGGGUCUUCAGAGCAAUUGGUGACACUCUUUGAAGUUGGAUGGGCAUUUUCUUUUAAAAUUAUGUUUAUGUGCUUUGCUUUUGUAUGUAUGAUAUUUCUUAAUAAAAUUUAAAUUUAAAAA
rnacentral:lncRNA from 1 species